rnacentral:ncRNA from 2 species
GCACGUUCUCAGGGCGGGGUGAAAGUCCCCACCGGCGGUAAGGUGGCAACACCAAGCCCGCGAGCGCGCCGCGACACGGUGGUCAGCAGAUCCGGUGCGAUUCCGGAGCCGACGGUAUAGUCCGGAUGAAAGAGAACGGGA